rnacentral:rRNA from 1 species
CCAAGAAGUCCAACACGUGCGCGAGUCAUUGGGUGUUACGAAACCUAAAGGCGCAAUGAAGGUAGGAGGCGAGAUCCCCGCUCUAASGAGUGGGGCGCAUCGCCGGCCCGUCUUGUAAAAGGCGGAGCUGGAGCGCACGCGUUGGGACCCGAAAGAUGGUGAACUAUGCCUGAGCAGGACGAAGCCAGAGGAAACUCUGGUGGAAGUCCGCAGCGAUUCUGACGUGCAAAUCGAUCGUCAAACUUGGGUAUAGGGGCGAAAGACUAAUCGAACCAUCUAGUAGCUGGUUCCCUCCGAAGUUUCCCUCAGGAUAGCUGGCGCUCAUUUGCAAGCAGUUUUAUCCGGUAAAGCGAAUGAUUAGAGGCCUUGGGGACGAAACGUCCUCAACCUAUUCUCAAACUUUAAAUGGGUAAGCAGCGAGACUCGCUCGAUUGGAGUCUUGCAGGCUGAAAUGCGAGUGCCAAGUGGGCCACUUUUG